rnacentral:rRNA from 1 species
CAGGUAGCUAGCGUACUCAUGCAAGUCGAGCGGUACGGGCCCUUCUGGAUGCUGACGAGCGGCGGACGGGUGAGUACUGCAUAGGAGUCUGCCCGGUAGUGGGGGAUAACCUGGGGAAACCCAGGCUAAUACCGCAUACGUCCUACGGGAGAAAGGGGGCUUCGGCUCCCGCUAUCGGAUGAGCCUAUGCCGGAUUAGCUGGUUGGUGAGGUAAUGGCUCACCAAGGCGACGAUCCGUAGCUGGUCUGAGAGGAUGAUCAGCCACAUCGGGACUGAGACACGGCCCGAACUCCUACGGGAGGCAGCAGUGGGGAAUAUUGGACAAUGGGGGCAACCCUGAUCCAGCCAUGCCGCGUGUGUGAAGAAGGCCCUCGGGUUGUAAAGCACUUUCAGCGAGGAAGAACGCCUGGCGGUUAAUACCCGCCAGGAAAGACAUCACUCGCAGAAGAAGCACCGGCUAACUCCGUGCCAGCAGCCGCGGUAAUACGGAGGGUGCGAGCGUUAAUCGGAAUUACUGGGCGUAAAGCGCGCGUAGGCGGCCUGAUAAGCCGGUUGUGAAAGCCCCGGGCUCAACCUGGGAACGGCAUCCGGAACUGUCAG